rnacentral:misc_RNA from 1 species
AACCUAGCACACCUGCGGUGUGUACCUGCGGAGGGAUCAUUACCAGAGAGCCUUUUGGCACUCCAACCCAUUGUGAACAUACCUAUCGUUCCCUCGGCGGGCUCAGCGCGCGGGGCCUCCGGGCUUCCGGGCGUCCGCCGGGGACAACCAAACCCUGAUUUACUACGUGUAUCUCUGAGGGGCGAAAGCCCGAAAACAAAAUAAAUCAAAACUUUCAACAACGGAUCUCAGAUCGGAAGA